GUGCUUGCUUUGGCAGCACAUGUGCCAAAAUCGGAACAAUACAGAGCCGGUUAGCAUGGCUCCUGCGCAAGGGCGACAUGCAUAUUCGUGAAGCUUCCGUAUUUUUG